AAGGAGCACAUAGCCGGUUGCGAGCGAAUGUCUCGCACGGUUGCUCAUGGGUGGAACGUUGACUAUUCGGCACACUGGGUGAUGGUUCGUGAGUACUGCUUCGGCGUGGAAAGCGUUUCUUGAGUCUGGUGUGUCGGGCACGUUGUUGGGUCCUGAGGGAACGAGUAAUCGUUGUCUCAGUGCCGGUCCCAUGCUUGUUGAGGUGGGUGUCUGGUCGUUGUUUGAGAACUGCACAGUGGACGCGAGCAUCUGU
rnacentral:misc_RNA from 1 species